GACGUAGGGCGCGAGCGUUGUCCGGAUUUAUUGGGCGUAAAGAGCUCGUAGGCGGCUUGUCGCGUCGUCCGUGAAAACUUGGGGCUCAACCCCAAGCCUGCGGUCGAUACGGGCAGGCUAGAGUUCGGUAGGGGAGACUGGAAUUCCUGGUGUAGCGGUGAAAUGCGCAGAUAUCAGGAGGAACACCGGUGGCGAAGGCGGGUCUCUGGGCCGAUACUGACGCUGAGGAGCGAAAGCGUGGGGAGCGAACAGG
rnacentral:rRNA from 1 species